rnacentral:rRNA from 1 species
AUGGCAUCGGGUGGAGCUAUUACAAACAAGACACUUGAUGAUGCUUUUCUGCUGAUUGAGAACAUAGCCUUCCACCAACUUCAGUGGUACAAUGAGAAGCCCACCUCUGAUUUAGCUGCUUGCUUGCAACAAAUCACUUCAUCUCAGCAAGAUUCUCUUACACAAAAACCUGAACCUCUAUCUCAGUGUGACAAGAUUGAGCUUGCAUGGAUUAUCUUUGACGAUGAUGAUACCAUUCUAGUUGACACGCACGCUACAGAUCAUAUGGAUACUAGUGUUGGAGAUUCAGUUUUGCAUUGUGAUGAUUCUUCCAUGGAUGAGCCAGAGCUGCAGUUAGUUGCUUUUGAUAUUGAGGAGACACCUUUACUUGAUAUUGAUCAUGUGCUUCUAUAG